rnacentral:rRNA from 1 species
UACGUAGGGUGCAGGCGUUGUCCGGAAUUAUUGGGCGUAAAGAGCUCGUAGGCGGUCUGUUGCGUCGGCUGUGAAAACCCGGGGCUCAACUCCGGGCCUGCAGCCGAUACGGGCAGACUAGAGUUCGGCAGGGGAGACUGGAAUUCCUGGUGUAGCGGUGAAAUGCGCAGAUAUCAGGAGGAACACCGGUGGCGAAGGCGGGUCUCUGGGCCGAUACUGACGCUGAGGAGCGAAAGCGUGGGGAGCGAACAGG